rnacentral:rRNA from 1 species
CCUACGGGAGGCAGCAGUGAGGAAUAUUGGUCAAUGGGCGAGAGCCUGAACCAGCCAAGUCGCGUGAGGGAGUACUGCCCUAUGGGUUGUAAACCUCUUUUGUCGGGGAGCAAAAGCCGGACGUGUCCGGCUGUGAGAGUACCCGAAGAAAAAGCAUCGGCUAACUCCGUGCCAGCAGCCGCGGUAAUACGGAGGAUGCGAGCGUUAUCCGGAUUUAUUGGGGUUAAAGGGUGCGCAGGCGGAUUUUUAAGUCAGCGGUCAAAUCGUGGGGCUCAACCCCAUCCAGCCGUUGAAACUGGGGAUCUAGAGUGUGCGAGAGGUAUGCGGAAUGCGUGGUGUAGCGGUGAAAUGCAUAGAUAGCACGCAGAACCCCGAUUGCGAAGGCAGCAUACCGGUGCACAACUGACGCUCAGGCACGAAAGCGUGGGUAUCGAACAGGAUUAGAUACCCUAGUAGUC